rnacentral:lncRNA from 1 species
UUUUAUUUUUUUUUUAACCAUGGUUUCCGGGCGUCGCUUUGCGAACUCGACUAGCUAUACCCACCGGGUCCCGCUGUUUCAAGGCGGGUCCACCACGGUUAGUUCCACGGGGCCCUGGAGACACGGCCGGUUUGUAAUGCCUCCAGUGGCCCUGCUGGGGCUCGAACCGGCGACCUGAAGGACUUUGUCCCAGGCCUUUACCAGCUGAGCUACCCCUCAGG